rnacentral:rRNA from 1 species
CCCAGACUCCUACGGGAGGCAGCAGUGGGGAAUAUUGCACAAUGGGGGAAACCCUGAUGCAGCGACGCCGCGUGAGUGAAGAAGUAUUUCGGUAUGUAAAGCUCUAUCAGCAGGGAAGAAAAUGACGGUACCUGAUUAAGAAGCCCCGGCUAACUACGUGCCAGCAGCCGCGGUAAUACGUAGGGGGCCAGGGGUUACCGGAUUUACUGGGUGUAAAGGGAACGUAGACGGCAGCGCAAGUCUGAAGUGAAAUGCCGGGGCUUAACCCCGGAACUGCUUUGGAAACUGUGCAGCUAGAGUGCAGGAGAGGUAAGUGGAAUUCCUAGUGUAGCGGUGAAAUGCGUAGAUAUUAGGAGGAACACCAGUGGCGAAGGCGGCUUGCUGGACAGUAACUGACGUUGAGGCUCGAAAGCGUGGGGAGCAAACAGGAUUAGAUACCCCGGUAAU